GAUCAUUACCGAGUUAGGGCUCUUCUAGGCCCGAUCUCCCAACCCUGNUGUUUUACUUCAACCUUUUGCUUGCGUUCGGCGCAGCUCCGUCCCCCAGAGGGACCGCCGGAGGACCGUCUACACGUCCUCUGGCCCGCGCUCGCCGACGGCCCCAAUCCAAAACUCAUGAACCAAACUUGAAUUGACUGAGUACCACAUUUAAUCAAAACAAAACUUUCAACAACGGAUCUCUUGGUUCUGGCAUCGAUGAAGAACGCAGCGAAAUGCGAUAAGUAAUGCGAAUUGCAGAAUUCCAGUGAGUCAUCGAAUCUUUGAACGCACAUUGCGCCCUUUGGCAUUCCGAAGGGCAUGCCUGUUCGAGCGUCAUUAUCACCUCUCAAGCCCCCCGGGUUUGGCCUUGGACGGCUGGUCGGGCGACGCCCGACCCCUCCUAAAGACAACGACGGCGGCUUUGUCUGACCCCCGGUACACUGAGCUUCUUAACCGAGCACGUGCCGGAACGAGGGUUGGCGGGCCACGGUCUUCUCCCCUUACAGGGAAAUUUUUCUCAGGUUGACCUCGGAUCAGGUAGGGAUACCCGCUGAACUUAAGCAUAUCAAUA
rnacentral:rRNA from 1 species